rnacentral:misc_RNA from 1 species
UCGGCAGUUUCUCUGGCAGACCUCUGCAUUUCGGCCAUCCGGGUUGCCAAUUGCGCUUCAGUUUGUCGCACUCUACGCGAAAAAAGCUCGCUGAGGUUAUCCAGGCUAACCUGCAGUCGAAGCAGGUAGGGGCGCAGAUCGUCACCAAAUUGAGCGAGAUUGCCGUUCAUCACAACCGCCUCAUGCGCAGACACUAUUUCGCAUCAUAUGCCUGCAGCGGAACAAAUUCGUCCAAAUUCUUCCAAAAG